ensembl:lncRNA
CAGGGUGAAUGAAGAGUGGCUGGUCCCAUUUUGAAUUAUCAGAGGCAUAAGCAUUAGUGACAGGAAAGCACCAAGCACAGAAAAUCCCUUGUCACUCUGAAUCUGUACUUUGAUUGGCAUUUGUCAGCACCACCCCCUCUGAAAAUGGAACACACCUGAGUCCCUUUGGCAAAGCACUUUGGGACUAGACCAUUUCACAAAAGCAACAAAAGUCCAAAGUAUCACUGGCUGGGGUCAUUUGGAAAGAGGGACUAUGAAUCAUGAAAAUGGUCUCACUAGAUCAGCCUGUGGGUCAACAUUUACAGCACAGGAGCAGCAUCCUUCAGCUCUUGGGAAAUAUGUAAUUUCAGGAUGACCUGCAAUGGAAGAAAUUCAUCAUGUUCUCAAAUUGGAAACAUGGAUGUUCCUGCCAUCUUCAGUAACUGAGCCUUGAUCCUGUCAUGUACAAGUGUGAGCAGGCAGAAUGAUGGCACUGGGCCACGGAGAUGAGUGUGCCACAGUCCUGGGAACCACUCUCAGAGAGCUCCUGAGUCACCCAAGGACACGGGAUUGAACAAAAGCUCUCCAUGACAGCACUGCUGGAGAAGAAGGGUACAAGGAGCUGUGGAAGGGUGCUUACCUAUUGUCAGAGUGUCCCCAUGUCCAGGGACACAUGGAUAUAUCACAGAUGUUGUUUCCUAGUUAAUUUCUAUUGAUUUAUAUAGCAUCUUAAUAAUAAAGAUAAAGAAAGGCA